UCGUCAGCCCGUGUCGUGAGAUGUUGGGUUAAGUCCCGCAACGAGCGCAACCCUUGUUAUUAGUUGCCAGCAUUAAGUUGGGCACUCUAAUGAGACUGCCGGUGACAAACCGGAGGAAGGUGGGGAUGACGUCAAGUCAUCAUGCCCCUUAUGACCUGGGCUACACACGUGCUACAAUGGGCAGUACAACGAGAAGCAAGCCUGCGAAGGCAAGCGAAUCUCUGAAAGCUGUUCUCAGUUCGGACUGCAGUCUGCAACUCGACUGCACGAAGCUGGAAUCGCUAGUAAUCGCGGAUCAGCACGCCGCGGUGAAUACGUUCCCGGGCCUUGUACACACCGCCCGUCACACCAUGGGAGUCUGCAAUGCCCAAAGCCGGUGGCCUAACCUUCGGGAAGGAGCCGUCUAAGGCAGGGCAGAUGACUGGGGUGAAGUCGUAACAAGGUAGCCGUA
rnacentral:rRNA from 1 species